GCCUCAGGCCGCAGGCGCGGGCGUACCUGUCAUGCGUCAGGCUUUAGGACCCGGUGGCGCACAGCGGGCCGGGGGAAGGGUUGGGGGAGGUCGGGAACGCGUCCGUGAGGCCGGAGCUGCGGCGGCGUCGGUGGCGUCGGGAGCGAGCGGGCCCGGGAGCGGCGCGGGUGGUGGAGGUGGAGCCAGGGGCUCGAUUCUCUAAUCAUGGCACAGGUAGAGAAACGAGGAGGUUUGCUUCGGAAAUCUUCAGCCUCCAAAAAACCACUGAAGGAAAAAGUGGUGCUGAUGUAUGAUGAGAUCUUCAUGACAGAAGACCCUAGUAAGUGCAGUCCUCGAUUUUGGGAGGAGCUCUUCCUUAUGAAGGUGAAUUUAGAGUACCUAGAAGGCAAGCUGGAAUCUCUGGAUGGUGAAGAGUUAAUGAAGAUCAAGGACAAUAUUAAUUGCUUAUUUCAACACUGCAUCCAGGCUCUGGGAGAGGAGCAUCCGAUUCGAGUGGUCAAUGCAUUGCAGACCUUGUGUGCACUUAUUCGAGGAGUCCAUCAAAAGAAUAAGUCUACCUCUGGGUUUGACAUUAUCAACAUGCUAAUGGGCUUUGACAAGGCGGAGCUGUGCAUGAAGAACUUGAUGGAGAGUUUGGAUUCAUUGCUUUGUGCCGAAGGUUCUGAAAGUCUGAAGAGCUUAUGUCUAAAACUCCUCCUCUGCUUAGUGACUGUGACAGAUAAUAUCAGCCAGAACACUAUCCUGGAAUAUGUGAUGAUCAACAGUAUAUUUGAAGCAAUUUUACAGAUCCUUUCCCAUCCCCCAAGUCGUAGGGAACAUGGUUAUGAUGCUGUGGUCCUCUUGGCUUUGCUGGUGAACUACAGAAAAUAUGAGUCUGUGAAUCCUUAUAUUGUGAAGCUGUCUAUUGUGGAUGAUGAAGCCACACUCAAUGGAAUGGGGCUUGUGAUUGCUCAAGCUUUAUCUGAGUACAACAGACAGUAUAAAGACAAGGAAGAAGAACACCAGAGUGGUUUUUUCUCUGCUUUAACAAAUAUGGUGGGCAGUAUGUUCAUAGCAGAUGCCCAUGAGAAAAUCUCAGUACAAACCAAUGAGGCCAUCCUUCUGGCACUUUACGAAGCUGUUCAUUUAAAUCGCAACUUCAUCACAGUGUUAGCCCAGAGUCAUCCAGAAAUAGGCAUGGUAACAACCCCUGUCAAUCCUGCUCCUACAACACCAGUCACACCACUUGGGACCACACCGCCCUCCUCUGAUGUUAUAAGUUCCGUGGAACUCCCACUGGAUGCAGAUGUACAGACCAGUAAUCUACUGAUAACCUUCUUAAAGUAUAGCUCAAUUGUCAUGCAGGACACCAAAGAUGAGCAUCGGCUUCACAGUGGCAAACUCUGUCUGAUUAUCCUUACAUGUAUUGCAGAGGAUCAGUAUGCCAAUGCAUUUUUGCAUGAUGACAACAUGAAUUUUCGAGUAAACUUACAUAGAAUGCCUAUGAGACACAGGAAGAAGGCAGCAGAUAAGAACCUUCCCUGCCGUCCUUUAGUAUGUGCAGUACUGGACUUGAUGGUAGAGUUUAUUGUAACACACAUGAUGAAGGAGUUUCCUAUGGAUCUCUAUGUACGCUGCAUUCAGGUGGUACAUAAACUACUUUGCUACCAGAAGAAGUGUAGAGUACGCCUGCAUUAUACCUGGCGGGAACUCUGGUCAGCCUUGAUAAAUUUGCUGAAGUUCCUUAUGUCAAAUGAGACUGUACUUUUGGCCAAACACAACAUUUUUACAUUAGCCCUUAUGAUUGUGAACCUAUUUAAUAUGUUUAUCACAUACGGCGAUACAUUCCUGCCCACUCCCAGCAGCUAUGAUGAACUCUACUAUGAGAUUAUCCGCAUGCACCAGAGCUUUGACAACCUCUACUCCAUGGGAGCUAGGAAGUCUUCCAUGAGAACCCUCUAGCAAACUUCCCAUUGGCAGAAUGUGCUCAGUGUACACUGUCCUGAGGCUUUCUACCAAUGCAGGCCAGUGGAAAGAAGCAGCUAGCAAGGUGACCCAUGCAUUGGUUAAUAUCAGAGCCAUCAUCAACCACUUUAACCCCAAAAUUGAAUCCUACGCUGCUGUGAAUCAUAUAUCCCAACUGUCAGAGGAGCAGGUGCUAGAGGUAGUACGAGCCAACUAUGACACGCUCACAUUGAAGCUGCAGGAUGGCCUGGACCAGUAUGAGCGCUACUCCGAGCAGCACAAGGAAGCUGCCUUCUUCAAAGAGCUGGUUCGAUCCAUUAGCACCAACGUCCGGAGGAACCUGGCCUUCCACACACUCAGCCAGGAAGUCCUGCUCAAGGAGUUCUCCACUAUCUCCUGAGGCCGCAGAUGCUGGAACAGCCACUGACUACCCUUACCCAUGAGGCUCCUGGGCUGGAGGGGGGCGAGGGGAGAGGUUGAGAAAAACACAGAUACCGAGUUCUCUUGGUAAAGGCCGCACUUCAGUGGAGCUUGGACAGCAGGGGCCAGGAUGGGCAAGCCAAGAAUAAUCUUAUUCGGGGAGGGGAUGGGUAGGCACAGGGAGAUACUUUCAGAAAUGUGGGGACUUCCACGGUGGGAUCCCUGGGCAACCCCUCACAUUUCCAAAUGAGAUGACAAGUUGUGGCUACCGGCUAAUUUCCAGGAGCUUUGGGGGUAAGCCUUAGAGUGAUGCCCAUACCCGGGGGAUCAGUGGCUCUCCUAGGCUUCUGAAAACAGACUCUCAGAUGUAGGUGAAGCCAAUUCUGCUUCCUUUGAUUCUGGAGGGAGCUGGGCUUGAAAUCUGUGUCUCCUGCCCCCGCUGGCACUUCAUCCAGUCAUUAGGACCCUUUGCUUAGGCUUAGGGUGGGGUAAGAAUGGAUACCUUUUUUCUGUUUUCUAAUUCUAGAGCCUACUCCUCUGGGAUACUGGAGAUUAGAAUCUGCCCAUUGGUCUACAGUCUGGCCACCACUUUCUGGAUUUGAUUCUUGGCACCAGGAAUACCUGUUAGCUUUCCCCUGCCUUCCAGCCCAUUGACUCAUCUUCACUACAGGGUGACAACCUUAGCUUUUCAUUUUCAAUCUGGUUUAAAUUGUCUUUAGGGUGUGUGUGUGAAAUAAACAUUGACAGGUUUUCUGGAGCCCUCAGGUGCCUACUUUGCUGGUUUCCUUUCCAGCAGCUCCUCCACCUCCUUAGCCACCCCCUCCUCUGGGAGCCUCUUCUGCCUCUGCUGAGCUCCCCUCCACGUGUUCCACCCCCUCACCCGGCUGUUGUUUACAUCCAGCCUGCCUGAGAAUUUCCUCUGGGAGGAAUCUGUUCCUGCUGUGGUCUGGUGCCUGGAAGGGAGAGAACUUGCUGAGGCCAGGCUUUGAAACAGGCCAGAUGAGCAUCGGGUACGAGAGGCCAUGCUGUCUCCCCAUAUUCUGAGUGGAGCCAUAAGCAAGUCUCCUGACCUUUGGGAAGUUGGCCUGUAAUUCCUCUCCUGGACCGCCCCCUCGGAACUGCCACUGUCGGCCUUCUCUGCCCCCCGGCUACCUUCCCAGAGUAGCUGCUGCUCUGAGAUCCUCCUUUCUAAAGCACUUUCUAAAGCCCUCAGCAUGGCAGGGAGCUAACAGCACAAAAAGAAUCUGGGAGUAAGUGUACGAAUCCAGUGGUAAAAGCAGGUCUAGGACCUCCCAGGCUGCUAUUCCACUUGGCUUCAUAUCUUUUUGGGAUUUGGGUUCCCUUCCUGAGAACCAGAGUUCUGGCUCCAACAUUGAGCAGUCAUGUACUAAUUCAGAGAAACCACCAAUGUGUUGCCAUGUAUAGUUGUAGUUUUUGGGGUUUUUUUUUUGUUUUUUUUUUUUCCUUUUUAGGGAUACACCGGUGGCAUGUGGAAGUUCCUGGGCUAGGGGUUGAAUCGGAGCUGCAGCUGCUGGCCUAUACCACAGCCCCAGCAACGUGGGAUCCGAGCUGGGUCUGCAACCUACGCUGCAGCUUGCUGCAACGCUGGAUCAUUAACCCACUGAGCAAGGCCAGGGAUUGAACCCACAUCCUCAUCAAUACUAGUCAGGUUCAUUUCCACUGAGCCACAAUGGGAACUCCCAAUAUAGUUAUAGAUUCUUAAGAGAUCAGGGGCUGGGUCAUCUCUGAUCACUAGAUGAAUAGUUCAGCCUGAGGCAUUUAGUGUUUUCCACAGUGAUAAACUCCAGAGGAGCAGGAGCUGGAAGCUGAUGGCAAAUUGAAGUUAUUAAAAAUUGAUUUGUAUGGGACAGUCUUUUUAGUGUCUUUUCUUUCUCCCUUAAUCUCGGAACUCCUUUCUCAACGACGGAGUUAAGUGAUGUCCCAGAUGCUGGUCUCAUCUGGCUAGGGAACCCCUUAUAAACUCUGUUCCUGCAUUUCCUGGUCCUAGUGGAAGCCAGUUCAGUUCAGAAGUUGUAGCCUCCCUUGCCUUUUGGGUGGAAGAAAGGAAGAGAGAAUCCCUUUCCCUCCAAAUUUGGUGUUGAGGAGGCCAGCCAGCCUGUGUGGGGCCCUUCUGGAUUCCUGCCAGCCUUCCCUGUGAGGUGAAUAUGGGUAGAGCCAGGGCAUGAGGCAACAGGCAAAGCACCCCUUGCCCUCCAUUUUAAAGGCCCAUCUCUUGGCACAUUUACAUACACCUGUUCUGAGAACUCCGAACAGGAGUCCCAUCCUUUCCUCGAACUCAACCCCAUGCUCUUUCCAUGCCCCACUGUCCCUGCCAGGUCUGUGGGGGACCCUCCAGAGUCAAGGGAGAGCCACGAGCAGGGCAUUGCUCCCCAAGAGAAUCCUUCCUUCAGUGGCUAGUCCCCCGCUUCUGUCUGAACUCUAACCACAAUUCCUGCUGAGUUAAUUGAAUCAAGGGCUUGGAAAUUAAUCCAAUUGAAGAGAUUAAAUGUGCUGGGGUCACUUUAGCUGAAGCUUUCUGUCUCAACAGGUCACUCCUCCAGAGGAGCCAUUGGGCAGGCAGGAUUACCUGGGACACUGCCACCAUACUCUGCAGAUGUAUUAGGCUUUGCCCCCUGCAGUCCUGGGGAGCUUGUGGGCUAGGAACUCAGGAAGCAUUCCAGGAAAGUUCAGACCAAAAAAAAAAAAAAAA